rnacentral:rRNA from 1 species
GACGUAGGGGGCCAGCGUUGUUCGGAAUUACUGGGUGUAAAGGGUUCGUAGGCGGUGCGGCAAGUUGGGAGUGAAAUCUCUGGGCUUAACCCAGAGGCUGCUUCCAAAACUGCUGUGCUUGAGUGUGGGAGAGGCGCGUGGAAUUGCAGGUGUAGCGGUGAAAUGCGUAGAUAUCAGGAGGAACACCGAUGGCGAAGGCAGCUCGCUGGGACGGUACUGACGCUGAGGCGCGAAAGCGUGGGGAGCAAACAGG